AAACGGUAGCUAAUACCGCAUAACGUCGCAAGACCAAAGAGGGGGACCUUCGGGCCUCUUGCCAUCGGAUGUGCCCAGAUGGGAUUAGCUAGUAGGUGGGGUAACGGCUCACCUAGGCGACGAUCCCUAGCUGGUCUGAGAGGAUGACCAGCCACACUGGAACUGAGACACGGUCCAGACUCCUACGGGAGGCAGCAGUGGGGAAUAUUGCACAAUGGGCGCAAGCCUGAUGCAGCCAUGCCGCGUGUAUGAAGAAGGCCUUCGGGUUGUAAAGUACUUUCAGCGGGGAGGAAGGGAGUAAAGUUAAUACCUUUGCUCAUUGACGUUACCCGCAGAAGAAGCACCGGCUAACUCCGUGCCAGCAGCCGCGGUAAUACGGAGGGUGCAAGCGUUAAUCGGAAUUACUGGGCGUAAAGCGCACGCAGGCGGUUUGUUAAGUCAGAUGUGAAAUCCCCGGGCUCAACCUGGGAACUGCAUCUGAUACUGGCAAGCUUGAGUCUCGUAGAGGGGGGUAGAAUUCCAGGUGUAGCGGUGAAAUGCGUAGAGAUCUGGAGGAAUACCGGUGGCGAAGGCGGCCCCCUGGACGAAGACUGACGCUCAGGUGCGAAAGCGUGGGGAGCAAACAGGAUU
rnacentral:rRNA from 1 species